rnacentral:lncRNA from 1 species
AGAAAGCUGGUUAGGAUGUGAGGCUGUGAGAAUGGGAACAUAGGAAGGGAAGAGGGAAGCCGCCAUCUUAGGUAGCUAGUGUUUAUAAAAUGGCCGCUUCUGAGAGAUGUGGGCUGAGUGCCAGGCAGGGUGGUGGGCACGAAGGAGAAUGACAACAGAAGGAAGGGUUUCCCAGCUGACCAAGAACAGACCUGAAUAUCACUAUCAGUGGGAUUAGAAAGGGAGGUGGACGGGGGGUGGGGGGGGGAGAGGGGUCUCCCAGAAGAGUUCUAGGGUUCAGCAUCUAAGCAGGGUAGUAGAAGCCUCAUCCCUGUGUACAGAUCCCAGAGGACUCAAGGCUAUGGGUGAUGUUGAAGGUGUGGAAGAAUCAAGUUGGAAAGACCAGCAGGAGACAGACAGAGUAAGGUUCCUUGAAUGCUUGGUUUAUGUGCCUGGCUGAA